rnacentral:ncRNA from 2 species
UCGGCCAGGUCAGGAGAGUGCCGCCCCCGAGGCGGCCGCCGAAGGCGCAGGAGGUCACCCACGUGGCCCUGAACGCUCAGGCAAAAGGACUGACAAACACGG